ensembl:lncRNA
CUGAGCUGUGAGAUAUAAGGCAGACACUGCAGGAAACUCCUAAUUUUACUCUUUUUAUGAGUGUACUGUGUCAGCUCCACAUGUUUCUUCUCUGGUUGGAGUUUCAGCACUUCAAGGAGGAUGGAGGUCUUUCUCUCUGAGAGGUUUAUGGACCAGACUGCAGGAGCUGACUGGAAAACUGACUGUAAUGAUGGAAGGACACUCAAGCCUGUUUUAGUCUCACAGUCCUUCACGUCAGAGCACAAAUUUAGGAGGAGAUGGCACCGAUAUUUCUCCAAAUCAUGAUCAUCAUCAUCAUAGCCAUCAAAAGGGAAUGUAUCAAAUCUGCACACUGAUGAUAACAGCUCCAGUAUCUUCUCUCCUGUCUGCUGUUCUCUCUCUGCUGCUGCACAGAACAGAUUCACAAAGAACCUGACUGCUUCACCUCGAUCCCAAAACUCAACAC